rnacentral:rRNA from 1 species
GGCUUUCUGAAAAGCAUAGGGAGUCGUGCCUUCCCAGUGGGCAUACGAGCCUAAACGGACGCGGUAAAUCGUGCUAAGGUAGCUAAGUUAUGGCCUAUUAAUUGUAGGUCUUGUGAAUGGUUUGACGAGCCUCCAACUGUCUCUAGGUUGUUUUGGUGAACUUGAGUUGAAUGUGUAAAUGCCUUCGUGGGUAAGAAAGACGAGAAGACCCCGUGAAGUUAAAAAUUUUAGCGUAUGGAGUGUUAUUCCCUGUUGGUGAAGGCUAGAGGGUUAAGGGAUUUGGUUGGUUUCUAAGUGAGGGGGUGUAGUGAAUGGUUUUUGCUGGGGCAGCAAAAGGGCAAAUUUAGACCUUAAUUGUAUUUAAAACGGGUGCGUUACGACCCAUAAUUAAAAAGGUGUGAUUAGCAGAAGGAGUUACUCCGGGGAUAACAGCGUUAUUCGUCCUGAGAGUUCUUAUUGGUGGACGGGUUUGCGACCUCGAUGUUGGCUCUGGAUAUCCUGGGGCUUGCAGGCGGUCCCAAGGUUGGUUCGUUUNGCCAUU